AGAGCGAACGCUGGCGGCAGGCCUAAUACAUGCAAGUCGAACGGACCCUUCGGGGUUAGUGGCGGACGGGUGAGUGACACGUGGGAACGUGCCCUUUGGUUCGGAACAACUCAGGGAAACUUGAGCUAAUACCGAAUGUGCCCUUCGGGGGAAAGAUUUAUCGCCAUUGGAGCGGCCCGCGUCUGAUUAGCUAGUUGGUGAGGUAAAGGCUCACCAAGGCGACGAUCAGUAGCUGGUCUGAGAGGAUGAUCAGCCACACUGGGACUGAGACACGGCCCAGACUCCUACGGGAGGCAGCAGUAGGGAAUCUGCGCAAUGGGCGAAAGCCUGACGCAGCCAUGCCGCGUGAAUGAUGAAGGUCUUAGGAUUAGUAAAAUUCUUUCAGCGGGACGAUAAUGACGGUACCCGCAGAAGAAGCCCGGCUAACUCGUGCCAGCAGCCGC
rnacentral:rRNA from 1 species